rnacentral:rRNA from 1 species
AUUGAACGCUGGCGGCAUGCCUAACACAUGCAAGUCGGACGAGUGGCGGACGGGUGAGUCAUGUCUCGGAACUUGCCCGGUAGAGGGGGAUAACUCUUGGAAACGGUAGCUAAUACCGAAUACCAUUCGCUCUGCCGAUCUGGGAUUAGCUAGUUGGUGGGGUAAAGGCUCACCAAGGCGACGAUCACUCGCGGGUCUGAGAGGAUGAUCAGACACACUGGAACUGAGACACGGCCCAGACUCCUACGGGAGGCAGCAGUGGGGAAUAUUGCACAAUGGGCGCAAGCCUGAUUCAGCCAUGCCGCGUGUAUGAAGAAGGCCUUCGGGUUGUAAAGUACUUUUAUCUGGGAGGCGUUACCAACAGAAUAAGCACCGGCUAACUCCGUGCCAGCAGCCGCGGUAAUUC